AACAAAAGAAAAAAGAGAACCUUCUCUUCUCUGUAACUGUGUAUCUCUUCCGCAAGAGAUUAUUAGCUGAUGAUUCUGAUCACAAAUCAGUUAAAGGUGACGCUUAAGGUUUAUGCAACCAAUUCCGUGAUCUAUGAAAACUCAAUUGUGGAUGGAGAGGUAUUACAAAAGGAAGGCGACAGUUGAUUUAUCAUGGCCUUCAAAACGAGGUGGUGGCAGUACAAAUAAACUUGGUAUCUCAACCCUGGAUCCAAAGGAUAAAGUUUGCAUAUGCAAAGCAUAAUCCAGUCCUGUAAUUUGUUUGGUUGAGGAGGAAGCUGUGCUAAAAAUGCUUUUGGAACUUGAAAUAUAUCUUGAUGGUUGUGUCCGAA